rnacentral:rRNA from 1 species
UACGUAGGGGGCGAGCGUUGUCCGGAUUUAUUGGGCGUAAAGAGCGUGUAGGCGGCCAGGUAGGUCUGCUGUGAAAACUCGAGGCUCAACCUCGAGACGUCGGCGGAAACCAUCUGGCUAGAGUCCGGAAGAGGAGAGUGGAAUUCCUGGUGUAGCGGUGAAAUGCGCAGAUAUCAGGAAGAACACCCGUGGCGCAGGCGGCUCUCUGGGACGGUACUGACGCUGAGACGCGAAAGCGUGGGGAGCGAACAGG